CGUACCAGCACCCUCUUCUUCAUUUUCAAUCUCAUUUCAUCCAUGUAAACAAUUUCAAUUUAAGGGAAAUUAUAUAGGAGAAGAAGAGAAAUGUUGCCAGCAAUAUUGAUCAAUUUAUGGAUUCUUUGAAGACCCAAAACGUUGGCAGCAAUUUGGGAAUUAAUUUGGAGGAAUCAAUCUUGUUAAGGUUGAGACACUUCGAGCAGCGUAUACGUGUCGUAUCACGAAUAAGCGCUAAAGGUACAGAUACUCGAUUUGGUGAUCCACCAGCUUAGAGUCCCCUUUCUGCUGUCUUGGAAAGCUCCGUCGUUCCGGAGCCUAGAUUUUGGUACAUACUUCCUGAUAUGCACAUAUAUGUUUUGUCCAUAGGUACGACGGGGCCCUGUCCCGUCAUAUGUUACUGUUGAUACUCCUAGAGGUCUGUAGACAUGUAUGUGGGUUGUGUUCAGAUGUGGUCGGUUGUGCCUAUAUGGUUAUUAUGGAUGGUCUAGCGCUGUAGCAGCCUUGCCGGCUUGCAUAUAUUAUCGUUUUGUUGAAGCAGCCUCGUCGGCUCGCGUAUGUUAUUACGUUGUGAUUGAUUGAGGAUCUAUAAUAUUAGUCCGAUUAUGUAUGA